UGCGUAGGCGGAAUAUUAAGUCAGUGGUGAAAUCCUGCGGCUCAACCGUAGAACUGCCAUUGAUACUGAUAUUCUUGAAUGUAGUUGAGGUAGGCGGAAUGUGUAAUGUAGCGGUGAAAUGCUUAGAUAUUACACAGAACACCGAUUGCGAAGGCAGCUUACUAAGCUAUGAUUGACGCUGAGGUACGAAAGCGUGGGGAGCGAACAGGAUUAGAUACCCUGGUAGUCC
rnacentral:rRNA from 1 species